rnacentral:lncRNA from 10 species
GGUUCCUCCUCCAACACUCAGUCUGGCCCCACAAUCCCUCUUGCCUCAGCUCAGCAUGCUCCAAGUCAACUCUUAAGAAUCCUGGAUAAUUAAUUAUAUCUACAAAGGACACAGUAAACAGAUAAUAUACACACUAAUUAAAUGAGUAAAUGAGAUUUUCUAUAUUUUCAAAAGUCUGGACAAAUGCUGUACAUAGCCAGUAUCCUCCUUUCACAUUCCCGAAAAUGUGAGAGAAGUCAAAAAUUUCAAAAACGACAGUCACCUUUUUAGGGGUUUUUCCCACUCACAGAGUACAGAAACUUUUAUUUCUAAUUAUACCCUCACCUUUCAAAUGUAAACUUCAUCAUACAUUUGCCUCACUUAAUUCCUAUUUCAUUCUAAUUAUUGCAUUCACUAUUUGCACAAAGCCAACUAACCUAACCAAUGAGCACAACCUAAUCCAGUAAGGUUUAAGAUUCAUAUCCCUAACCAGUUCCCUCUGUCUCAAGGAUAUUUAAGACCUCCAGGUAGGCCAGGCAUGAUGGCUCAUGCCUGUAAUCCCAGCACUUUGGGAAGCCGAGGCAGGCGGAUCACCUGAGGUCGGGAGUUCAAGACAGCCUGACCAACAUGGAGAAACCCCAACUCUAUUAAAAAUACAAAAUUAGCUGGGUGUGGUGGCGCAUGCCUGUAAUCCCAGCUACUCAGGAGGCCGAGGCAGGAGAAUCACUUGAACCCAGGAGGCGGAGGUUGUGGUGAGCCGAGAUCGCGCCAUUUACUUUUUUGUUUUCUGCUCAUUCUUAUAAAAAGGCAAAAUACAUCUGAACUUGCACAUAAACACAAGAUACUGCCGUACAAAUACAGCAAAGCUGCUGAAACCAAACUAUUCUCAGGCAAUACCACCUUGCAAUAAAAAGAAAUCCCUUUCAUCAGCUAAUGUACAGAAGUUUGAACCUGACUUAAGGAAAGGAGGUUCAGAGUUGUUAACAUAUAGUGUAUCAAAUAGGAGGUCAAGCACAGUGGCUCAGGCCUAUAAUCCCAGCAACACUGGGAGGCCAAAACAGGAGGAUUGCUUGAGGCCAGGAGUUUGAGACCAGCCUGGGAAACACAGUCAAACCCCUGUUCUCUAACAAAAAUUAACCAGGUGAGGUGAUGUCGGCCUGUGGUCCUACUUACUCGGCAGGCUGAGGUGCGAGGAUGCCUUGAACCCAG